UAAGCCUUUCCCUCUUAUGACUCUUAUUCUGCCUCCUCUCACCCCCAAGGAAAUUCGUUUCUAGACCCAACCCGUCCAAAUCCCUCAACCUCACGCUGGCAAAAGCCAUCGGCAGAGGUGUCGAUUGCAGAUCAGCCGUCGUCAAUUCCAAGAGCCACUCUCCAAUUCCUCGACAUUUCCUUCUCCACCGCCGAUAAACAAUAACCAGCUCGUCUUCGUCGACGAUGAGAAUAUGCCCUUGGAAGGUGCCAUUCAGUUCGACAAGCCCAGCUCCUCUGCUCGAAUCAGAAAAUAAGGGUCCGCUACUUGCAAUUAGUCCCAUACUCGUAUUACUUGUGUAAGGACUGUGACUGCAGAACUCUUGAUCAUAGUUCCACACUAAUUGUUACAGGGGUUUGAAUCUCUAAGCAGAUCUAUCUCUCCAACUCUCAAUUCCUCUCUAGUCAGGUUUGUCAAGAUGUUUACUUCAAGGAAGAAGAUUCAUAAGGAUAAGGAUGCUGAGCCAACUGAGUUUGAAGAGUCGAUUGCAUAACUAAGCUAUAUUGCUUUCCUUAGCAUUGGAUGCUGGACCUGUGAUAGCCAGUGAAAGAUUGGAAAUUGAUGAUCAAACUAAUGAUCCAAACUAUUUAUUCACUGGAUUCCUUCCAUAUUUGAUGGUUCAGCUAAAUUAAAAUUAUGCUGGAGCUUAAAAUUAUCACAACCAAAGUUCGCAGCCAUAACACUAUUCAGGUCAACCAAGCAGAUUACAUUUUUUUUCGAAAGGGUGCAUUAGUAUUCCCCUGUGGAGGUCCACAUCACUUGAGGUGCUACUGCAUUUGACAAAAAUAUGAUACUGUCUAGUUUACUGCUGGGAUAGGAUCAUGACAUACAGUCGUGCCUUCUGUUGUUUUCUGAACCAUUUCUACUGCUGGGAUAGGACCAAAUGACACAGCUUGCAUCAGUCCACGCACAAUACAGUAGACUUGUGAUACCAACCCCAGCCAUCAAUGAUGGGUAUCGACCCGAAAUGCCUCAAACUGUUCCAGAUUCGCUGCUGAACUGAAAGGGUUGGUUUCACUUACCAUUAGCUGGUUUGAUGGUUAUGUUUUUGUCUACUUUGAGUUAGUCCUCAAAGCAUUUUGAUGGAAAUUAUUCUUGGACAAGGAUUAUGUUGUUAAAGGGGGGAAAUCUUAGUGAUAUUCCACCUUCAAUAACAAUGUAUUCUAGAAAGCAGCCUUGUUUUUUGUAAUCCAAGAAUUUACUUUGGUAUGAAAUGUAUUUUGCUAGG
rnacentral:lncRNA from 1 species